AUAUUCCUGAUCAUGGUAAAGAAUAUUCUCUGCAUAUAGAAAUCCACUGAAACAACCGUGGUAGUAGAGUAGUAUUGAAUGCGGCCACGCAGGUACCAGUCUACCCUAGGUCACUCGCGCGCAAGGCGCCCGGACGAUCCAUCGAUCGCCCGCUCGUUGCUGCCUGGCGCCGUAGCGGCAUUGCGGUGAUUCUCAGCCUGGCAUCAGCAUUCAGCUGCCGCGCCUCGCAAGAUCCAGUGUUCUUGAUCCCUGCGCAGCGAUCGAGGUGAGGAGCGCCAGAUAUUUCUGUCAAAAAGUCCACUCCCUGCUGUGAUCUUCUCACUCCUUCCAAUACUUUCCCCCAAGAGGUCAAUGCUGCCGGACGGCACGAGUGAUGGCGGCGAUAGCAUUUAGUGGAGCUGUUGACUUAGCGAUGCCGAUUUGCCCAAGCUUGUGAUCCAAAAGGUCUGAUGGAGCUACUUAUAUAGGAUUUUAUAGGCGCAAGGAUGGACAAGAGCGAUUCCGAUUGUCCAUACCCCGGAUGCUUUUUCUGCCUCAUGCGAGACGUAAAUCCAUCCAAGCGCCGCCCCAGCAUUGCAAAGUUCUUCAAGGAUCUCCCCGGUGAAGACGACGAUGGACAGGUUAUCCCGAUCAGCGGCUUGUGGAACAGCGCCAUGGCACAGCCAAGCAAUGCCGAGUUCGUCGAUCUCGGGGUCUUCGAAUGCAUGGCCGCAUUGAUCUGGAAAGGCCUCACCAACAGGCGAUGGCUGGCGCACGACCAAAACAUCUUUAUUCCUUACUACGCAGCUCACAUCAUCGGCUCGUAUACCAUGGUGGUGGAGGACUUUGCCGAGAGAGCAGUCUCGGCGGGAGUGAUUCCAGCGCUUCUGGAGCUUCUUCGAGGGAGGAUGACUUGGGUGGAACAGAGGGUGGCGGUGCGUGCUCUUGGUCACCUGGCUAGCUACGACGUUACCUUUCCUUACAUUGCAGCUUAUGGUGAGAUUCUGGACCUCUCUAUGCAACUAUCAGUCGAUGCUCCGGAGAUUGUCUACACGCAUUUCCUCCAGUUCGUGGACAAGAGGCUGGCUUACCACUGCGACCUUCUUACCAGAGGAGUUGGAGGCUUGGAGGUUGAGUCGAGAAAUGCCGAGGCCUGGGCGAGCCAGCUUCAGUGCUGGUCAUUGCAACUCAUCAACUGCUUUGCGUUCAAGGAUGAGUUCUUGUCGACCAUCUGUCAACCGGAGUAUCUGAUCAAGCUUUCUGGUACGUGGGGAGGCCUUGCGAACGAGAACUCGCCCGCUGGUGUCGGGCUGAUAAGAACUUUAUGCCAUCGAAGGCUGGGUAAGCAGGCUGUUGCGGAGUGUGAUGCGGUGAUUGAAACUCUAUGCAACGUCUCUCGCUCGUCGGAUGACUGGCAACACAUGGCGGUGGAUUGUCUUGUGUGGUUGAUCCAAGACGUUGACACUAGGUCCAAGGUUCUCGACAAAGCACUUCUUGCACUUAUUGAUUUGGCAGAACUACCAACCAUAGGGGAAUACAAGAGGCUUGGAAAUUUACUCGUGCAGAACCUAGUGUUUAAGAACGAAGUCGACCUUUCCAAGAAAUUCCAACCGCGAACAAGAUCUUUGAUAAAGCAGCUGGAGGCCUUUCACGAUCGAGUAAGAAUGGAGAAGAAUUUACCGAAAGAGGACGUGCAAAUCAGGCUCGCAGCAGCUCUCGUGAGCAAGCUGGAGGGGAACGCCUACUUUUCAGCUGGUGACAUUCAAGGAGCCGCAACGAAGUACACCGAGGCUCUAGCACUUUGUCCGAUCAAGGCUAAGAAGGAAAGAGUCACACUUCAUAGCAACAGAGCUCAGUGCCAGCUACUUCUCCAGAAUCCCGAGGCUGCGAUCAGCGACACUACCCGAGCGCUGUGCAUUCACAACCCCGUCAACCGACAUGGAAAGAGCCUGUGGAGAAGAUCACAGGCUUACGACUGCCUGGGACUGGCCAAGGAGAGCCUUUUGGACGCCAUUUUAUUCGUCAACGAGUCUUUUGGCGAAUCUGAGGGCAAGGGAAACAGCAAAGUUCCCAGAUACGUGGAUCAGCUGAUCAAGAAGCAGAUGCAGGCGAUAUGGCUGUUUAACGAGGCUGCUGCGAAGCAUGGAGGAGUGCAAUGCGAAGGUGACGAACGAGAAGGUGGUGGUGAUAUUCGCUCGAGCAGCGAAGUGGAAGACGAUCUAUCUGCCGCUGAGGGCCAGGAGGAAUCCGAAUGGGAAACUGCGAGCGAGAGCGAAGAUUGUGCCGCCGAGAGCUGCUGUUCUUCACAGGCGGAGGAAAGACAAGAUCACAGACGUCGGGAAUGGAAGAAUUUUCGCUGCUUCUUUGUAGAGACCGCCCUCCUUGUAUAUCAGAUACGAAGAUAUGUACUUCUCAGCGGAUUAAUGGCUGCUACUUCGUGCGCUCUCCAGACCUCCAUGCUCUUUAAGGGCCAUCAAAGCCAGAGGAAGAGCUAUCUGGUGUUCAGUAGCAUGGCCGUCACGAGUAAAAGAAAAGUCACCAGCGCAGCUUACGAUCGCCAGUCUGGGAUCUACGCCAGUGACCGCUGUGAUAUCGUGUUUCCGGAGGGCGAGCUGCUGGACUUUGCAACAUUCGUUUCAUCGAAAAACAUCUUAAAUCCGGCCAAGAAUGUCGCGCUGGUGGAUGGAGUCACGGGACGAGAGCUUACAUUUGAUCAAGUCAUGGAAGAAACAGUAUCUCUGGGAACUUGUCUCCAUCACUUGGGGAUCGAGCAGGGGGAUGUUGUGAUGCUACUGGCUCCAAACUCGAUAUACUAUCCGCUCGCAGUGAUGGCCAUUGCCAGGAUUGGAGCUGUGGUUGCUACUCCCAGUCCAAUGGGAUCUGCUAAAGACGUCGAGUUCCAAGCAAGGCUUGCAAACGCAAAGAUGGUGAUCACGACUAGCGAGCUCUUGUUCAAGACAAGAGGACUGGGCCUGGAAACUAUAGUCAUGGAUGACGAUGGAUCGUUUUCUCUAGCAGAAGAUCCCGGAAAGGCAGCGAAAGUACGAGCUUCCUCGACUGUCCAGCCACGAAUUCACAGAGACGAUCCAGCAGCUAUAUUGUACUCGUCGGGAACGACCGGGAUGAGCAAGGCAGUGGUGCUGUCUCACGCCAACGUCGUCGCGCAAAUCUUGCAGCUUGCUCGCGAAGAAUUAUAUGAGAGUGCUCUUGCCGGACGAAAACUUUCAUACGACGUACCUCUUUGCGCCUUGCCGAUGUCACACAUCUUUGGACUGGUAGCGGUGACUUUGAAGCAGCUCUACCUUGGGAACCGGCUAGUGAUCCUUCCGGGCUUUGAGCUGCGUACGAUGCUAUCGGCGGUCGAAAGCUACCGGAUCUCGCACAUCUAUGUCGUUCCUCCGGUGAUCAUCACUCUCGCGAAGUUUUUGCAAAAGACCACUACGAUGCACGACCUUACAUCCUUGCGAGCUAUUUUAUGUGGUGCAGCCCCACUGGGAGAGGAACUGGUGCUUACUCUAAGUCAUUUACUUCCAAACGCAUUUUUCUUUCAGCUUUAUGGCAUCACCGAAGCGACAGGGGCUCUCACCUUGAACGACACAGUCGCAAGUGGUAACACAGCAUCAGCUGGAACUCUUCUCUCCAAUGUGGAAGCCAAAGUUCUUGACGUUCGUAGCGGUGCCGCGCUGCCUCCAAACUGCCAGGGAGAAUUGUUUUUACGCUCUCCGACAACGAUGCUCGGCUACAUUAGCAAUCCGGAGGCAACGAAGCUUAGCAUAACCAGCGAUGGUUGGCUGAGAACUGGAGAUCUUGUUUACUUCGACGACGCGGGGAACUUGUUCGUGGUGGACAGGAUCAAAGAGCUCAUCAAGUACAAGACCCUUCAGGUCGCCCCGGCUGAGCUAGAAGCAUUGAUAUUGACCCAUCCUCUUGUCUUGGAUGCUGCUGUGGUCCAAAGACGAGGAGGCUGGGGAGAUUCCCGUGGCAUUUGUCGUUCCUAGCGCUGAUGGAGAGCUCACGGAGGACGAAGUGAGAGUUUUCGUCGCUAGAAAUGUGGCUGCUCACAAGAGAGUACGAAGAGUGACUUUCAUCGAUGCGAUUCCAAAGACGCCGUCGGGGAAGAUUUUGCGAAAGGAUCUGGCAUUAAAGGCGUGACGUGGAAGAUAGUUUAUGCCAUGUAGGAUAGCUUUUGUGUACACGUAACAUUAUAAGCUAAAACUUAGGGUUCUUGA